GCGAAAAGAACCCCGGCGAGGGGAGUGAAAAAGAACCUGAAACCGUGUACGUACAAGCAGUGGGAGCCUCUUAAUGGGGUGACUGCGUACCUUUUGUAUAAUGGGUCAGCGACUUAUAUUCUGUAGCAAGGUUAACCGAAUAGGGGAGCCGAAGGGAAACCGAGUCUUAACUGGGCGUUAAGUUGCAGGGUAUAGACCCGAAACCCGGUGAUCUAGCCAUGGGCAGGUUGAAGGUUGGGUAACACUAACUGGAGGACCGAACCGACUAAUGUUGAAAAAUUAGCGGAUGACUUGUGGCUGGGGGUGAAAGGCCAAUCAAACCGGGAGAUAGCUGGUUCUCCCCGAAAGCUAUUUAGGUAGCGCCUCGUGAAUUCAUCUCCGGGGGUAGAGCACUGUUUCGGCAAGGGGGUCAUCCCGACUUACCAACCCGAUGCAAACUGCGAAUACCGGAGAAUGUUAUCACGGGAGACACACGGCGGGUGCUAACGUCCGUCGUGAAGAGGGAAACAACCCAGACCGCCAGCUAAGGUCCCAAAGUCAUGGUUAAGUGGGAAACGAUGUGGGAAGGCCCAGACAGCCAGGAUGUUGGCUUAGAAGCAGCCAUCAUUUAAAGAAAGCGUAAUAGCUCACUGGUCGAGUCGGCCUGCGCGGAAGAUGUAACGGGGCUAAACCAUGCACCGAAGCUGCGGCAGCGACACUAUGUGUUGUUGGGUAGGGGAGCGUUCUGUAAGCCUGUGAAGGUGGCCUGUGAGGGUUGCUGGAGGUAUCAGAAGUGCGAAUGCUGACAUAAGUAACGAUAAAGCGGGUGAAAAGCCCGCUCGCCGGAAGACCAAGGGUUCCUGUCCAACGUUAAUCGGGGCAGGGUGAGUCGACCCCUAAGGCGAGGCCGAAAGGCGUAGUCGAUGGGAAACAGGUUAAUAUUCCUGUACUUGGUGUUACUGCGAAGGGGGGACGGAGAAGGCUAUGUUGGCCGGGCGACGGUUGUCCCGGUUUAAGCGUGUAGGCUGGUUUUCCAGGCAAAUCCGGAAAACCAAGGCUGAGGCGUGAUGACGAGGCACUACGGUGCUGAAGCGACAAAUGCCCUGCUUCCAGGAAAAGCCUCUAAGCAUCAGGUAACAUCAAAUCGUACCCCAAACCGACACAGGUGGUCAGGUAGAGAAUACCAAGGCGCUUGAGAGAACUCGGGUGAAGGAACUAGGCAAAAUGGUGCCGUAACUUCGGGAGAAGGCACGCUGAUAUGUAGGUGAAGCGACUUGCUCGUGGAGCUGAAAUCAGUCGAAGAUACCAGCUGGCUGCAACUGUUUAUUAAAAACACAGCACUGUGCAAACACGAAAGUGGACGUAUACGGUGUGACGCCUGCCCGGUGCCGGAAGGUUAAUUGAUGGGGUUAGCGGCAACGCGAAGCUCUUGAUCGAAGCCCCGGUAAACGGCGGCCGUAACUAUAACGGUCCUAAGGUAGCGAAAUUCCUUGUCGGGUAAGUUCCGACCUGCACGAAUGGCGUAAUGAUGGCCAGGCUGUCUCCACCCGAGACUCAGUGAAAUUGAACUCGCUGUGAAGAUGCAGUGUACCCGCGGCAAGACGGAAAGACCCCGUGAACCUUUACUAUAGCUUGACACUGAACAUUGAGCCUUGAUGUGUAGGAUAGGUGGGAGGCUUUGAAGUGUGGACGCCAGUCUGCAUGGAGCCGACCUUGAAAUACCACCCUUUAAUGUUUGAUGUUCUAACGUGGGCCCGUAAUCCGGGUUGCGGACAGUGUCUGGUGGGUAGUUUGACUGGGGCGGUCUCCUCCUAAAGAGUAACGGAGGAGCACGAAGGUUGGCUAAUCCUGGUCGGACAUCAGGAGGUUAGUGCAAUGGCAUAAGCCAGCUUGACUGCGAGCGUGACGGCGCGAGCAGGUGCGAAAGCAGGUCAUAGUGAUCCGGUGGUUCUGAAUGGAAGGGCCAUCGCUCAACGGAUAAAAGGUACUCCGGGGAUAACAGGCUGAUACCGCCCAAGAGUUCAUAUCGACGGCGGUGUUUGGCACCUCGAUGUCGGCUCAUCACAUCCUGGGGCUGAAGUAGGUCCCAAGGGUAUGGCUGUUCGCCAUUUAAAGUGGUACGCGAGCUGGGUUUAGAACGUCGUGAGACAGUUCGGUCCCUAUCUGCCGUGGGCGCUGGAGAACUGAGGGGGGCUGCUCCUAGUACGAGAGGACCGGAGUGGACGCAUCACUGGUGUUCGGGUUGUCAUGCCAAUGGCACUGCCCGGUAGCUAAAUGCGGAAGAGAUAAGUGCUGAAAGCAUCUAAGCACGAAACUUGCCCCGAGAUGAGUUCUCCCUGACUCCUUGAGAGUCCUGAAGGAACGUUGAAGACGACGACGUUGAUAGGCCGGGUGUGUAAGCGCAGCGAUGCGUUGAGCUAACCGGUACUAAUGAACCGUGAGGCUUAACCUU
rnacentral:rRNA from 1 species